AAGUGGAUUCAAGCCAGGAGCUGAAGAACUGAAGAUCCUGAUUUGGACAGAGUUCACAGCCAAGGCUGACCACAAAGAGAACCUGAAAACCCUCCAGGAGAUGUUCGGAAAGAGCAGCAGAACCGUGGAGCGGGCCAGAGCAAGCUGGACUCUUUCAAAAGAGCCUGCGCAGAUGGACUGCUCUCUUUCCCCCAUUUCUCCCCCGCAGGGGGGAUGGGAGUGGACGAGCCUGCCACCGCCGGUCUCUCGGACCCCGUCCCGCUCAGAGAUGGGGGUGGCACCAGCCCCUUCGGCCCCCCCACCGCUUUCACUGGCCUUCCCGCCGCCUCAAGCCGAGACGGUCCCUGUUCAGGAUGGUGUUGAAGACGGUGCCGAACCUGCGGGACCCUCAGAGCAGCCCACGGCCGCUCCUACAUCCAGCGUGAUUCCCUCCCCGGUUCCGGCCCCCCCGCCGCUCGCACCGGCUGCCCCAGCAGGUUCUGCUGUUGUUGGAGACUCUGUCCUCCGUGUCGGCGUCAGAGACUGCCCUGGAACCGGCGGCUUGUUCGAGCUCGGACCAUCCCCGACCGGCUGCCCCUGCAGCGGCCCCGGCGGCUGACCUCCCCUUCCGUGGAGCGGGGAGUGCCCGCCAGCUGACUGUGGGGGCAGUGCGUCUGCCUGCAUUCAAGAUCAGCAUUCUCAGCGGGUUGGGGGGUGGUUUUUCGGGGAUUGUCCCAUGGAGGCUGCCAUCUUGCACCCUAGUGGCAGGGGGUAGGGGCAUCCCGAGAGUUCUGCCUUUGGUCCCCAGCCCAGUGGGGAUGGUGCCAUGGGGCGGAUGGAAGAUACACCUGAUGCAUUUGCAUUGCAGGGGAAGAGGGCACAGAUGGAGGAGACCAUAGCUGGUUUGCUGUGGGAAACAAACAUCUCCAGACCCCAGAUGGGAUUGCUGGGGAAGGCUUCUAUUUCCCUGCUGCUGGCAUGCCUCAGUGGUUUUGGGGAAAGGAAGCAUCUCACUACCCGUGCUGCCAUUGUACUGGCAGCAGAGUGCAGGCCUGUGGGAAUGCAGAGCCUGUUUCGUGGGUUUGGGCCAAGGCCAUCACUUGGCCUCCUGAUGUUUCUGGGGGUUGCGGUUUCUCCUACCAGUCCUGGCCCCCCCUUUGUGGGCCAGUCCUGAGGGCCCUGGUCCAUCAUGGGCCAGGGCCCCCAGGGCUUUUCCUUCUCUGGCACUGCUCUCCUCGGCUGCUGCUCUUUUCCUUUUCGAUUAAAAAAAAAAAAAUAAAAAAAAAUAAAUAAAAAAGAUUGAAAAUAGCGGGCAGCAGCUCUGAAGCACUGAAGCAUUGAAGGGCCAGAAAAGGACAUUCUAAAAGUUGUUCAAAUUGUUUGAAAUUGUUUGAAAUUGUUGUAAGACUGUCAAUGGUUUGUGAUAACUAUUGAUGGGACUUUUGCAGAAGUCUGUUUCAGGACCAAAAAGGACUCUCCGAUUUGUCCAAGGGAAACAACUUCAGCUCAUGGACUGUUCCUGAAACUCAGCUGCUUGGACUUGAAUUCUCUUUGCAUUGUUUUUUGCAUUUUCUUAGAUUGUAGGAUUGUUUUAGUGAUUUGUUAGUAUUGUAUAUUUUACAGGUGAAGAAAUUUUCUGUUCAUUUCACAUCAGCAUUUUUCUUUUUAAUUUAUACAAUUUAGAAAGGUGAGAUGUCGCAGACAUUUUUUCAUAGAAAUCCUUUCUUUGGGAUUUGUUCAUCUUCUGGGAAGCUGAGGCCCCAGAAGAAGAAUGUAAACAACUGUUAUCGGCUGGUGUGGAAUGUAACAGGUGAUUGGGCUUCUGUGAGUGUUUGGAUUUGCUGACCACUCACAGAAAGAGUUUGUCCUUGCUUUCUGCUGGACACAGAACUUUGUUAUUCAUUCUCUUCCAUGCUAUUCUUAGCUUAGUAGCCUCUGCAACUUCUCUCCUUACUCUUUUUAGUAUAGUUAUAAUGUAUUAUAUAUCAUAUAUCAAUAAAUACAGCAUUCUGAUCAUCAACAA